rnacentral:rRNA from 1 species
UACGAAGGGGGGCUAGCGUUGCUCGGAAUCACUGGGCGUAAAAGGGUGCGUAGGCGGGUCUUUUAAGUCAGGGGUGAAAUCCUGGAGCUCAACUCCAGAACUGCCUUUGAUACUGAGGAUCUUGAGUUCGGGAGAGGUGAGUGGAACUGCGAGUGUAGAGGUGAAAUUCGUAGAUAUUCGCAAGAACACCAGUGGCGAAAGGCGGCUCACUGGCCCGAUACUGACGCUGAGGCACGAAAGCGUGGGGAGCAAAGCA